GGGCCAAGAUUGAUCCCGUUUUGGUGCUUGAUGCCAAAGGGGGAGAAAAUAAAGGCCAAAGCGAUAAAUGGAUCAGCUACCACUUGAGAGAUUUUGAAAAUAGUAGAAUAGAGUUUUUGUUUUGUCAAACUCUUUUAUUGUCUCUUAUUGUCUCUCUUGUCAAAAGUUGGCUUCUUGUGGGGAGAAGUGUUAAUUAUGGGAAAUAGGGGGAGUUUUUGAAAUCUUUGAUCAAUCUCUUUUGGAAUGACUCUCUUUAUGCUUCAACAUGUGUGUUUGACUUAGAGAUAGAGAUUUGAGUUUGAUUUGCAAAAACAAACCAAGUGGUGGCAAAGGAUGAUCCACAUAUGCCAAAAUUGAAUCAAAAUAAAUUUGAGUUUUUAUUUGAAGUGAUUUUGCACUUGUUCUAGUUGCUUUAUGUUGUGUUGGCAUAAAUCACCAAAAAGGGGGAGAUUGAAAGGGAAAUGUGCCUUUGGGCCAUUUCUAAGUAUUUUGGUGAUUGAGUGCCAACACAAGUGCUUAAAUGUGAAAUAUGCCCAUGGAUGAACAAAGUGCAAAUCGCAAGUAAAGGUAUGUUUCUAAGCCUUAGUACAUUGGUUUUGUGUACUAAUAUCUUGUCCAAGUGUUAGAAAC
rnacentral:lncRNA from 7 species